rnacentral:ncRNA from 2 species
AAGGAGUGUGUAACAACU